rnacentral:misc_RNA from 1 species
AUAACUGCAUUGAAUAACCAAAUUGAAAAUCUUUGAUGGAGAAGCCCAAAAGGGGCUCUUUCUUUAUUCUUAUUUUAUUAUAAGUAUUCCAAAUCAGACUAUAAUAUUAAUGUAUUCAACCACUCAAAUAAAAGGCUGGCUAAAAAAAUCCAAACAUUUGCGUUGGUUGCUUAUUUUAUCCAAAUCUAUUAAUUUUGGACAAUUUUAUCAAAAGUUUUAAUAUUGAAAAAAAUUUAUCCAAUUAGCAAAAUCCAAUUGAGGAUUUUGAUUUUUGCCACAGGAGAUG